rnacentral:pre_miRNA from 1 species
CCGCGGGCGGCUGGUAGGCAGUGUCAUGUUAGCUGGUUGGUUCCGUUAGCACCAGUUUACCUGCCACUGCUCUCCAACCACCUGCAAA